rnacentral:rRNA from 1 species
CAGUCGCCGCGGUAACACGUAGGUGGCGAGCGUUGUCCGGAAUCAUUGGGCGUAAAGGGAGCGCAGGCGGGCAUGUAAGUCUUUCUUAAAAGUGCGGGGCUCAACCCCGUGAUGGGAAAGAAACUACAUGUCUUGAGUACAGGAGAGGAAAGCGGAAUUCCCAGUGUAGCGGUGAAAUGCGUAGAUAUUAGGAGGAAUACCAGUGGCGAAGGCGACUUUCUGGACUGCAACUGACACUGAGGCACGAAAGCGUGGGGAGCAAACAGGAUUAGAUACCCCUGUAGUCCCUGUCUCUUAUACA